UAAAGCAAGAAAGGGCGUAUGGGGAAUGCCUAGGCACACUCCGGCGAAGAAGGACGCAGCAAACAGCGAAAUGCGACGGUGAGCGGUAAGCACGUGAAGAGCCGUCGAUAUCCGAAUGGGGGAACCCACACGGAGUCAUAUCCGUGUAUCACAUGUCGAAUACAUAGACAUGAUGAGGCGAGACGCAGGGAACUGAAACAUCUAAGUACCUGCAGGAAGAGAAAAUAAGAAUGAUUUUCUGAGUAGCGGCGAGCGAAAGGGAAAGAGCCCAAACCGAUCUGAGGAUCGGGGUAGUAGGAUCAUCGAUAAAUCAAACAGAGGAUCAUAGAGGAAUCACAUGGGAAGGUGAGCGAGAGAGGGUGAGAGCCCCGUACUCGAAAUGAGAGACUGGAGAGAGAUGACACCUGAGUAGGGCGGGACACGAGAAAUCCUGUCUGAAUCAGCCGGGACCAUCCGGCAAGGCUAAAUACGAGAGAGUGACCGAUAGUGAACCAGUACCGUGAGGGAAAGGUGAAAAGAACCCCGGGAGGGGAGUGAAAGAGAACCUGAAACCAUAUGCCUACAAGAAGUCAGAGCCCGUUAAAGGGUGAUGGCGUGCCUUUUGUAGAAUGAACCGGCGAGUUACUGUAUGGAGCGAGGUUAAGCAGGAUAUGCGGAGCCGAAGCGAAAGCGAGUCUUAAGAGGGCGCGAGUUGCAUGCAGUAGACCCGAAACCGGGUGAUCUAGCCAUGACCAGGUUGAAGUUGGGGUAAAACCCGAUGGAGGACCGAACCGACCCCCGUUGAAACGUUGGCGGAUGAGUUGUGGCUAGGGGUGAAAUUCCAAUCGAACCCGGAGAUAGCUGGUUCUCCCCGAAAUAGCUUUAGGGCUAGCGUCGAGAGAAGAGUUGCGUGAAGGUAGAGCACUGAAUAUGUGAUGGCCCCAUCUCGGGGUACUGAGCAUAAUCAAACUGCGAAUGUCACGCCAACAUGCUCGGCAGUCAGACAGCGGGUGAUAAGGUCCGUUGUCAAGAGGGAAACAGCCCAGACCAUCAGCUAAGGUCCCAAAAUGUAUGCUAAGUGGAAAAGGAUGUGGAGAUGUACAGACAACUAGGAGGUUGGCUCAGAAGCAGCCAUCCUUUAAAGAGUGCGUAACAGCUCACUAGUCGAAUGACUCUGCGCCGAUAAUUUACCGGGGCUAAGCAUACUACCGAAGCUAUGGAUCCCAAGGGAUGGUAGGGGAGCGUUCCAUGAACGGAGAAGUACGACCGAAAGGACGUGUGGAGAUCAUGGAAGAGAGAAUGCCGGUGUGAGUAGCGGAACGUGGGUGAGAAUCCCACGCACCGAAAACCCAAGGUUUCCAGAGGAAGGUUCGUCCGCUCUGGGUAAGUCGGGACCUAAGGCGAGGCCGAAAGGCGUAGUCGAUGGACAACAGGUAGAGAUUCCUGUACCCGUAUAUAUGUGAAGGAAUGACGGAGAGAGGAAGCUGCAGCCAGCGGCUGGAAGAGCUGGUGCAAGCGAGAUAUCGGGAUGGCAGGCAAAUCCACCAUCCGAAACGAGAAGGCGUGAAGCGUACGGAAAGCUACGGCGAGUACGGAAGGCAGUGGAGGAACUUCCAAGAAAAGUUUCUAACGUUAAGUAUAUAUGGCCCGUACCGAAAAUGGACACACAUGGGUGAGGAGAGAAUCCUAAGGUGAGCGAGAGAACUAUAGCUAAGGAACUCUGCAAAAUGACUCCGUAACUUAGGGAGAAGGAGUGCUCAUAGAGAUAUGAGCCGCAGUGAAACGGCCCAAGCGACUGUUUACCAAAAACACAGCUCUCUGCUAAGCCGCAAGGCGAAGUAUAGGGGGUGACGCCUGCCCGGUGCUGGAAGGUUAAGGGGAGGGGUUAACGCAAGUGAAGCCCUGAACUGAAGCCCCAGUAAACGGCGGCCGUAACUAUAACGGUCCUAAGGUAGCGAAAUUCCUUGUCAGGUAAGUUCUGACCCGCACGAAUGGCGUAAUGAUUUGGGCACUGUCUCAACAGCCCGCCCGGCGAAAUUGUAGUACUGGUGAAGAUGCCAGUUACCCGCA
rnacentral:rRNA from 1 species